ensembl:lncRNA
GACUGGCACAGAGCUCGCAGCAGCCUCUCUACACAGUUAGCUCACGGGAAGGAUGAACAGACGGACACCUGACGAUCAUCACUCUCAGCAUCCCACGUGUUUUGAGUUUCCUUUGCACUUCUUUCCAUCUCACUAAGUUUUGUCAGCCUCCUUUUAGAUCUCAGUCCACUGACUGUCAGCAACCAUGAGCGGUGGAGCGAAUAUCAAAGUCAUAUCUCAAAGCCAGAGUGACGCUGGUGUCAGCUCGAGUCUGCCUUUGCCGAGAAGCAUGAUGCCUCUCUCCAAGAUGGAUCCCAAACAGCAGUACAGCGCCCAUCCCAAUCCCACAGUGCAGUAUCAGCACCCUGCCAAACCACGGCCUUCAUACUCUUCAUCAUCUGCUUCUUCAGGCCCUGCAGAGCUGCUGAGAGGUACAGCUUUCAAGAACCACCUGCUGCAGCAAAAGACCAGCAUGUUUUCUCAUAGGAGCCCAGCGGUUACAGAGAGAACAGAUGGAACGUGCUCCGCAUACAGCAGCCCUCAGGUGCCAAAGCGGCAAGUCCCACGCUCCAAAGACACAUUAGACCUCAACAACAGCAUGCUGACCCAGAAGGCUUUGAGAGACCUUCAGCUGAGGAGAAACACAAACAAGAACUGGACCUUUGGGAAGUAUCGUGUGAGGAACAUGGACAACGUACAAGAAGGCGAAGCCAUCCACCGGCUCUCAGCUAAUGUUCAGUCAGGCCACGGACGAGGACGUCUGCUUCAUACUAAAGCUGCAAAUGGGAAUGACGUCCCAGGGGUGUCUUCAGCUGGG